rnacentral:rRNA from 1 species
AAAGAACUUUGAAAAGAGAGUUAAAGAGUACCUGAAACUGCUGAAAGGGAACCAAAUCGUUUCCAGUAUCUAUAAUCCGCGGUAUAUUUCAUUGGCGAAUGUGUGCGUGCAUGUACUAUGGCAGCGGCUUUUUGCUGCGCCUUGUGUGUGUUUCGCAUUUUCUCGCUGGUGCCCUGUACUGUGGUGGGACGUCAAUGUCGGUUCGUAUGCUGCGGGAAAUGACUGCCGAGGAGGUAGGGCGAACGCUUGCGUUUGUCUGUUACAUCUGGGCGGACUUAGUAGUCGUGGUUGGGACUGAGGUGCCUAUAAUGUGCUUAUGAGUGGGAUCGAAUCUCCAUGUGCGCCGUGUGCGGAUAGCUUGCUAUGCGUGUGUAGCUGUGUGUGGAUUGAGUCGAGACGUAACUUAUUGCCGUUCGGGACGUUGACGAAAUGGAGCGAUUUGACCCGUCUUGAAACACGGACCAAGGAGUCUAACAUGUGUGCAAGUGUUAGGGUGUGGAAACCCCAGCGCGUAAUGAAAGUAAAGGAUAGCGUAAGUUAUCUUAGGUAGGAAAUGCUGCGGGUUCGUCCUGCGGCGUGGCACUAUCGACCGAUCAUGAACCUUCGUGGUGAAAGAUU